UUUUCUACGAUCGUAACCGAAUUCGAAUCGCUUUAUCGUUCGUGGCGCCAUCUGAAGAAAAGUCGCGACGAGCGCUCUAAUAGUUUCCAGUCUUGCGCGACAAUUUCAAGCAAUAUGGCGUGCGAAAAACGUUGUUCGCGUUGCCGCUUACUUUUUGUAUUCCAGCUUAGGCCGUCUAAGCUAUCGAAAUAGUUUGCGCGCCAUUGAGAGAGAACGUGUUGUAUCUUACGAAAUGUGAAAAAAGAUCGUACCAAAAAUUUAAAGAAAUUUUAAUUUGGAAGACGACGAUCGUUCAGGUGCACCGAGAAAGUUCGACGACAGUGAGUUAGAAGAAUGGCUCGACGAAAAUCCGACCACCCAGACGCGAGAAGAAUUGUAUCUGAUUUGUGUAAUAAAAUCUUGAAUUUGGAAAAAAAAAGGCGAAAGAACUUAUUUCCAGACAAUUCACCGACCUCCAUUCGCUGAAUAUAUGCCCUCACCGGAUUCGACUUCCAGUCCAUCCUCGAUCGAGUUCCGGAACGGACGGAGACAAAAUAUUUUCGAAUAUUUCGACAGAACGAGUGAAUAUGUCUGGGGAGAUUGAACGGGGAAACGUGAAACGAAACUCGAUUAUUUUUCAGUAACGGCAUUCGUAUCCGCGAAGGAAGGGAGAAACUGCGACUCGACCUUCGAUUUAUCGACAGCCUAAUUAAAGAUUGCGAACGAUGCUCGAGCCGCCGAGUUCCCGCUCCCAGGCCAGACAGACUGCGUAAUAGGUAAUUACGGAUGGAUCUGGUGGCGAAACAGAGGCUAAUUAACGAGGCUUCUUCAAUGCCGGACACGUUCGAGGGCCUCCUCUCCCUCCUCCUUUCCGUUCCACGUACGAAAUUUUACGAAUUCAGGAAACAUAGCGUGGCAGCACGUCCCCUAACCCCCUAAACCCCGCAAAAUCAGCGAAAUUUCUUCUUCUUCCAUCUCCAACGAAUCGUGAAUUCGGUUCCUCGGCCGGUUUCACCGCACCUUCCGGUUUCCGGAAGUUUUCGCGAAUCGCGAGAUCGUCCGCUUCGUCGCUAAUUACCGCGUCAAUUAGACGGAACGACAUCCUCGAGGAUCAGAGGCAGGCCAGGUGUGUUUAAAGUACGCAAUUUUGUCGGCUAGAGUCGAGGCGAAACGAGGAGGAAGGAAGGGGAGAGGGAGGAGAAGGGGGGAGGAUAGUGGUGCGAUGAAAUACCGAGAGAUGCGGCUCUCGAGAGUCGACGGGGCAAAGGGGAGCAAAAGCGGAGACCUCUGAGGGGGCUCGUUAUCCGUGUGUACGAGGCUCAGACAAACAGCCUCAUUUGUCACGCGCUGACCUCCCUACCGACCUUCCCUCUCCUCCUCCUCCUCCUCCUCGCCUCUUUACGCCACUUCUUACCUUGUCUACGCCGGUUGUUUGCAAUUUCCCCCUCCCUCCCCAUCGAAUCGAGUAAAUAUAUUUAGAGUCAACCAGGGAAGAGAGUAAUUUAUAUAUCCGCAGCGAGGAGUAGCGAAAGGGAAACACACAAGCAUAUUCGAGAGCAAGUUGUUUUCGACGUCGAGGAUUUUUUAACUUUACGGGAAUUUAAGGAGCAUCCCCGAGCAAAUCCUAUUUUCUAGAUCUAGGUUGUGAAAUAAUUUGCGAGAAAAGCGAAGGUGGAGAAGGAAAAGAAAAAGGAACUCUUUUAACUCUCUAGCCUUUUGUUUUCUCGACGAUUUUUUUAAGGGACGAUAACAAAAGUUACAUCAAAAGUCGUUAGAUUCUAUGAACUUUCUAUUCGUCGAAUUUCACUCUGGUAUCGGAGGUAUCGCGGUAUCGGAGAACGCGAAACAAGUUCGAUUCAUUUGUAAAUCUGCACAUUCGCGAAGAGAAGUUUCGAAACGAAGCGUGGCGACGAGACACGGUUCAACGAUAAUGCCCUAUCGUCGACUCCGCUUUUCCGAGACGGUGACCAACCGGAAUUAAAAUAACCACGCAUACGUUGUAACCGCGUCUAUUUAGUAAAUUCGUAUAGAAUGGAAAACUUGAAUUUAUCCGAUAUCUCGCUCGUAAUUUACGCGAGAAACUAUUUCGACUUUUAACGCUCGAAACAUUCGGUAAAUGGAAUAUAAAUGGCGCGAAACGAAUUUCCUCGAACGUUACGUAUAUACUUGAUAUUAAAAUAUCGUAUUGAAAAUAUCGUAUUGAAAAUACGCGGGGUGAAAAUGCUCGUGUAAAAAAAGAAAAAAAAAAAAAGAAGAAAUAUUCGACCGUGUUCGAACGCGGCAAAAUGAUCGAUAUCCCGCGAAAUUUCUGUUCGAAGAGAUACCGCAAAGGUGGCGCUAAUGUAUUAGGUCGACUUAAUUAAAUCGACUCGAUCGAUCGACAGAUAUAUCUCAAACGUGGCUACGUUCACGGUGAAGCUCGCCUUGUACGUUCCGCCUAUAAACGGAACGACAGGAACAAACGUCGGUAAUAUGCCUAUGGAACGAGUGUAUUUUUCAAACGUCAGGGAUUAGAUUAGAGAGAGGGAGAAAUUAAACGAGGAUGUUGGUUAGGUCGUACAGGUUAGCGAAAAAAAUGUGUGGGAAACUGUGUGCGAGACGAGAACAAAGAGCGAAAAAUGUUGAGAGAUUAUCGAGUUAGGUUAGGUUAAGGAAUAUGGAAAGAAUAUAGAUUCGUUCGAUCGUUACGAGUGAUAAAUUAAAUAAUUUUUCCAGGAGAGAUACGUUUAAAAACUCGAUGUAUCCUUAUCCUCGUUAAAUGUUAAUCCUUCGGGAGAGAAGAAAAGCGAAUUGGCGCGUGCAAUCGACGAAACAAAGAUCGCCGCAAUUAGAGCGAUAGAAUCGAUAAUGCGAUUGUAACGAACGUUGAAUUUUCAGUACGGUUACGUCGGAUUAUUAUCGAUUGUAAACAAUCCUUGGCAUUAAACUAUAUCGAGAUUUAUAACGGAUUAUCGUAUAUCCCCCCUUUUCCCUCCCAGCCUCUGCAUAUAACGCUAUGGUCGUUUAUUAUUUGUUCAACGAUAAUUUAUUUAUCUCUGAUUAUUACAGCGUACAACAAAAUUGAAGUUUGCCAAAGGUAAAUUGUCUAAAUACCACCUGUGCGCACACAUAACGACAGUUCAAAUUGAGAUUUUAUUGAAGUUAAUCCGCGUACACGAGCGUUCUCGUUCAAGUAACGAUCGUUGGACAGAUGGUUUAUUCUUUAUCCAUCCUUCUCCGGAAUUUGAAACACGCCAUAUUUCGCAAAAAUACGCCGAAACAAAAAUCCUAUCCUAAUUAUUAGUUUAGAGUGAUUGGAAAUUCGAAUUUUCAUCUUUUUCAAACAAUAUUUUAAUCAAUUGGCGUGUUUUAUAAAAUGUUGGAAAGAAAGAGAAAGAACGGGUGGAAUAAUAACGGGAAGAUAAUUUGAAUUGGAAUAAUAACGCGAAACGAUUUCGAAGAAAUUUUCGGAAAGCGGAUAUUCAACGAGCAACGUAAUAGGAGGAUAUAUCCAUCGCGGGCGAUAUAUCUAUCGCCGAGCGAUAUGCUAGUCAACAUUAUGCGGCAUCGAUAUUCUGAUUACCAAUUAAUCCUACGAUGCAUCAUUCGAUGAUUUUAGGGAACCAGGGAACUAUCUACGAUACACAAGUCUCCGAUCAUUUGCCGCGUUUUGGGAUAGAAAUUUAGAAGACGUUUAUUCGAUAAUCUAGUCGAAAAUCGAAAGUGUGGUCGAAUUAUUAUUACUAUUAUCGAGAUCAAAUAAUUGUAAUUCUAUUUCGAUUAACGAAGAUUAAGCGUGCGGUUUCGACGAUCGAUCCCGACAACAAACGUUCAUUCGAAAAUCUAUUCGAAAAUCCUUCGAUCUAAAAUGUGCGAAUUAUAAUUAUUAUUAUUGUUGUUGUUGUUGUUGUUGUUAUUGUUGUCGAGAUCAAAUAAUUGUAAUUUUAUUUUGAUUAAGCGCGUGGUUUCGACGAUCGAUCCCGACAACAACAAACGAGGGACUAGCGUUUUUUUUCUCGGGGAAAAAAAGAAGCGUCGACGCGGUGUCGACGCGACUCGCUCGAAUUUCCCUCGAUUCCCCCCCGUUCCCGCCCACGGACGAAACGAAUUAUUUUCACGCGGAUGAAAUAACGUUAAUUGGGCAACUUGUAAAAAAAAAAAAGGGUUGAAGUAAAAUUAGCAGGGCCGACGAAAUUAGAGCGGCGACUUUGUUCCCCUUUCGGAUAUCUCAUUAAAAUUGUUUAGCGCUUGCCAACUCGCCCCAACGAUAUUACGGCCGGCUCGUUAGCCGCUAGAAUGGAUAGCUACGUCGAUGUACAAUGACAUUAUACCCCGGAGAACCGCAACCCUGUUAAAUAAAGCUCGCUUAUGUUUUGACAAACUCAAGUGCACGGAGAUGAAUAAUCCGCGAGAAAUUAAAACGAGCAAAGUUUCGACGAGAGAGAGAGAGAAAGAGAAAAAAAAAUUGCAUAUCCCCUAAAAGAGGUCGUCGAGAGUGGGAAGCUGGAAUUAAUAUUAAUACAUCCGCUUUUAAUUAAGAUUAUUCUUUUCCCACGAAAAUCCCAGUAAAUUCUCCAGAAAAUAUCGAGAAAAUAAUUCCAUUUCUCCUCCUUUUUCUUCUUUUUUUAUAUAUAUGUAUAUAUAUAUAUAUAUAUAUAUUAUAUUCUGGAAACGAACAAACUUGCCGAGAACAAAGUUGGCCAUUGGAAAGAAAGAAAGAAAAAGGAAAAGGAAGAGAGAGAAAAACACCGUCUUCCUUUUUUAUCAAAAGUUGUAACGGUCGAAAGAAGUUCGUGAAAGUAAAACACGACUUGCCGUCGUUAUGAAAACAGCGCAUAGCAUUAGCAUACUAUCAGCCUUUCGCGCGGGCGGCAUAUCUCUCGGUGAUAUAGCGCGUCAAAUAUCUCGUCGGCCGACGAGAUCGAUGGAAUUUUCGACUCUCUCUCUCUCUCUCUCUCUCUUCUUUUACUUCCGCCUUCUCCGCAUUCGAUUCGAGAACUCUUCGCGUUCCAACGGUCGGGCAACACUCGGUUCGACGCAGUAACUCGAGAAGGUGACUUUCCAGGCAUCGCUCGACCGGAACGGCGACGAUGUUUGUUUACGUUGGUUUUUUUUAAAUAUCGCUUCACGAAUUUUAGAUUCGUAAACUGUUUACGUAUAAUCUUAUGAAGCGUGGAACAAUGUAGUAUAUUAAAUGAUUUUUUUUAUCUCAAAUUGGAUCGCGACAGUCGUGGCGAUAAAAAUAUUAUUUUCAAAGUUUUUGAAUUUCGUAAAGCGUGGAUAAUAUGCGGAAUGAAAUUAGUUGGAGCGAAGAUGAGUUUGAUUUUUCGUUGUUGAAUAACGAAAUUAUUUCUAUUCGUUAAGAAAUUGACGAUAGAGGAAAAUAGCGAUGAAAAUAGAGAUAUGGUAAAAAGAAGA